GACGAACGCUGGCGGCGUGCUUAACACAUGCAAGUCGAACGGAAAGGCCCUGCUUUUGUGGGGUGCUCGAGUGGCGAACGGGUGAGUAACACGUGAGUAACCUGCCCUUGACUUUGGGAUAACUUCAGGAAACUGGGGCUAAUACCGGAUAGGAGCUCCUGCUGCAUGGUGGGGGUUGGAAAGUUUCGGCGGUUGGGGAUGGACUCGCGGCUUAUCAGCUUGUUGGUGGGGUAGUGGCUUACCAAGGCUUUGACGGGUAGCCGGCCUGAGAGGGUGACCGGCCACAUUGGGCCUGGGAGACGGCCCAGACUCCUACGGGAGGCAGCAGUGGGGAAUAUUGCACAAUGGGCGGAAGCCUGAUGCAGCAACGCCGCGUGCGGGAUGACGGCCUUCGGGUUGUAAACCGCUUUCGCCUGUGACGAAGCGUGAGUGACGGUAAUGGGUAAAGAAGCACCGGCUAACUACGUG
rnacentral:rRNA from 1 species